AACGAACGCUGGCGGCAUGCCUAAUACAUGCAAGUCGAACGAGCACUUCGGGUCUUGUGGCGUAUGGGUGUGUAACGGGUGGGAACAUGAACUUAGGUUCGGAAUAACUCUCAGACUGGGGUGCUAAUACCGGAUCAUGUCUACGGCCCAAGGAUUUAUCGCAUUUGGUUGGACAAGCGUUGGAUUAGGUAGUUGGUAGGGUAAUAGCCUAACAAGGCGACCAUUCAUAGCUGGGCUCGGAGAAUGGUUAGCCACACUGGGACUAAGACACGGCCCAGACUCCUACGGGAGGCGGGAGAGGGGAAUGGUGGACCAUGGGCGGAGGCCUGAUCCAGCAAUGCCGCUUAAGUUAUGAAAGCCUUAGGGUUGUAAAGCGCUUGUAACCAGGAUGAUAAUGACAGUACCGAGAGAGUAAGCUCCGGCUAACUCCGUG
rnacentral:rRNA from 1 species